GCCAGCGUAGCUCAGUCGGCAGAGCAGCGGUUUCGUAAACCGCAGGUCUCCGGUUCAAAUCCGGACGCUGGCU
rnacentral:tRNA from 1 species